rnacentral:rRNA from 1 species
UACGUAGGGUGCAGGCGUUAAUCGGAAUUACUGGGCGUAAAGCGUGCACAGGCGGUUUGCUAAGACAGGUGUGAAAUCCCCGGGCUUAACCUGGGAACUGCGCUUGUAACUGGCAAGCUAGAGUGUGGCAGAGGGGGGUGGAAUUCCACGUGUAGCAGUGAAAUGCGUAGAGAUGUGGAGGAACACCGAUGGCGAAGGCAGCCCCCUGGGCUAACACUGACGCUCAUGCACGAAAGCGUGGGGAGCAAACAGG